rnacentral:lncRNA from 1 species
CAGAGAGGAAACACUGAAGAGCGGGGCGGCUACAGAGCAAUCUGACCUCUGCCAACAAUCUCAGUUGGAACACAGCAAAGCACAAGAACAGAGGAGGCAACUUAAGGAGGACCACUUGAGAUUAAUUCAGGAGGAGGUGGAGAAGAUGGAGAGAGACUUGGCCCAGGAACCGCUACUGACAGAAGGCCCCCAGAGAGAGCUGCUGGUGCUGACCAGAGAGAGGCGAGUCCUGGUGCUGCAGAUAGAGGCCCUGCGUGCUGAGGCCCAGCAGGCUGAGCAAGACCUGCAGAAUCAAUAUCAACACCACAAAACAGAGCUGCAUUGUCUGAGAGAGGAGAGCCUGCAGGUUGGGAGAGUACACAGUUUGAGAGAACACCAAUUCAAAUGUCACUUUUUCCAUUUCAUUUGUUUAUUACUAGUUUUCUAGUCUCCUUCAACAAUAUGGCCAAUUCAUUUUCUGUUUUACUGCAGGUGUUCAGAGUGUUUCGUCAGGUAAGUGAGGAGCAGAGGACGAUAUCAGAGAGCAGAUACAGAAGUGUGUUGCUGGAAGCUGUGCAGGAUGCAGUCUACCUCUCAGCCCAGAACCAGCAGCUGCAGGCCGACAACAAACAGCUCCGUAAAGGUGUGUGUAUGUUCCUCAACCAGACUGCAUGUUAUGUUUGAGCUGGAACUUCCCCUGAAGUCAAAUGUUGCACAGAGGCCCAGAUAUGAUUCUCCCUCCCAGCAUUCAAACUCCCAUUUUUCUUUUACAGCAUUGGGAGAGUUUAAGGAUACUCUUGCUGUGCGGGGUGAUCCUAUGGCUGAACCGUUAUCCCAACAACAUUGAAUGUAUAACUGGAAUAUGUUUAAUGUUUAUCAAUCAGCGUGCUUGAUGUAAAUCAUUAGAAAUAAACUAGUUUUUGACAGUUUAUUGGUUAUCAUGAACACACUUUGACAUUGUUCUUGGCAGAGAAUGAAAUACAAAAAGUAUACUAGCAGCACUCUUCAGAAAUGUUUCACUGAAGAUACGAUAAUCCUGAUUUAUUUUAGUUUGAUUGCAUCAGUGUAAAAAAAUGUGAAUUAAAUUAAAAAAAAACUUGUUAUUUGUCAAAGUAGGGUUCAGCUGACAAAUGUUCACAUGAUAUGGUUUGUUACAAAUAAAAAUAUGCAUUGGAUUCUGGAUCAGAAAACAAAUCACAUCUGAAAAAACUAGAAAAAAAAUGCACAGACUGUAAUGAGUUCAACGGG